rnacentral:rRNA from 1 species
GACGAACGCUGGCGGCGUGCUUAACACAUGCAAGUCGAACGGUAAGGCCCUUCGGGGUACACGAGUGGCGAACGGGUGAGUAACACGUGGGUAAUCUGCCCUGCACAUCGGGAUAAGCCUGGGAAACUGGGUCUAAUACCGAAUAGGACCACAUUACGCAUGUUUUGUGGUGGAAAGCUUUUGCGGUGUGGGAUGGGCCCGCGGCCUAUCAGCUUGUUGGUGGGGUGAUGGCCCACCAAGGCGACGACGGGUAGCCGGCCUGAGAGGGUGUCCGGCCACACUGGGACUGAGAUACGGCCCAGACUCCUACGGGAGGCAGCAGUGGGGAAUAUUGCACAAUGGGCGAAAGCCUGAUGCAGCGACGCCGCGUGGGGGAUGACGGCCUUCGGGUUGUAAACCUCUUUCAGCAGGGACGAAGCGCAAGUGACGGUACCUGCAGAAGAAGCACCGGCCAACUACGUGCCAGCAGCCGCAGUAACAC